UUCGUAGGCGGUGCGGUAAACGUCGGAAGUGAAAUCUCUGGGCUUAACUCAGAGGCUGCUUUCGAAACUGCCGUGCUAGAGUGCGGGAGAGGCGAGUGGAAUUGCAGGUGUAGCGGUGAAAUGCGUAGAUAUCUGCAGGAACACCCGUGGCGAAGGCGGCUCGCUGGACCGCAACUGACGCUGAGGAACGAAAGCUAGGGGAGCAAACAGGAUUAGAUACCCUGGUAGUCCUAGCCCUAAACCAUCAGGACUUGGGGUGGCCCGCGUUGGCGGGUCGUCCCGGAGCUAACGCGUUAAGUCCUGCGCCUGGGGAGUACGGUCGCAAGGCUGAA
rnacentral:rRNA from 1 species